rnacentral:lncRNA from 1 species
CUUGGACCUAGAUUUCUUGUCUGACCUUCGGCAUGUUGCACCUUUUUAUUUUUCUUUUUUCCUUUCUUAAAGGGAUGACACCCCACCAUUGAUCCUCCCACUAUAUUCAUCAUUUUCUUAUGGAGCUGGUGAUUUUUCUUAAAAGUUUGCAGUAAUCCCAGUAAACCAUGAUAAUUGACUACAGGCUUAGUCAUUCUAUAAUGAUUGAGAAAGGAGAGAUAGGACUUUAGUAAA